UGCCAGCAGCCGCGGUAAUACGGAGGGUGCGAGCGUUAAUCGGAAUUACUGGGCGUAAAGCGCGCGUAGGCGGUUUGAUAAGCUGGAUGUGAAAGCCCCGGGCUCAACCUGGGAACUGCAUUUGAAACUGGUAAACUAGAGUAUGGUAGAGGAAAGUGGAAUUUCUGGUGUAGCGGUGAAAUGCGUAGAUAUCAGAAGGAACAUCAAUGGCGAAGGCAGCUUUCUGGACCAAUACUGACGCUGAGGUACGAAAGCGUGGGUAGCAAACAGGAUUAGAUA
rnacentral:rRNA from 1 species